GUAGAGUAAGGGUAACGCGUAAAGUGGCAAGUGGCUGGGAAGUCGCCCUUGCACGAAAGCCCCCCGAGAAAUAGGGGCUACGAUGUUGCUCUGCAUCCGCUA
rnacentral:ncRNA from 1 species